AACGAACGCUGGCGGCAUGCCUAACACAUGCAAGUCGAACGAGACCUUCGGGUCUAGUGGCGCACGGGUGCGUAACGCGUGGGAACCUUCCCUUAGGUUCGGAAUAACUCCCCGACAGGGGUGCUAAUACCGGAUAAUGUCUUCGGCCCAAAGAUUUAUCGCCUUUGGAUGGGCCCGCGUUGGAUUAGCUAGUUGGUAGGGUAAAAGCCUACCAAGGCGACGAUCCAUAGCUGGUCUGAGAGGAUGAUCAGCCACACUGGGACUGAGACACGGCCCAGACUCCUACGGGAGGCAGCAGUGGGUAAUAUUGGACAAUGGGCGAAAGCCUGAUCCAGCAAGGCCGCGUGAGUGAUGAAGGCCUUAGGGUUGUAAAGCUCUUUUACCCGGGAUGAUAAUGACAGUACCGGGAGAAUAAGCUCCGGCUAACUCCGUG
rnacentral:rRNA from 1 species